UGGCUCCGGCGCGCGCGGCUGUGCGUCCUACCUCUGGGGAGAGGUGGGGGACUGGUCCCUUCGAGUUGGUCUCGGACCCGGGCCCUCCGCGGCCGAACACUUCAGGUGUGACUUCGGCGUCCCCUGUCUUGGACCCCGCGCGUCGAGCGCGCACCGGAGCCGGGGAGAGACGCGCACCAUGCUGGAGGGCGACAUUGGCCUAGAGGGACUGCCCCCCAAGGAAGCCCCUGCAGCCCGCGCUAUUAAUACACAUAAUAUUUCCGUGCUAUUCUGAAGAUUUAUUUGAGAUAUAAAGUAACUGCUGGGACUCGAAGGCACAAUGGGAACUACAGUGGAGCUCGCAGAGGCAGAGACAGAUGAGGCCUGGCUCCUGGAGGGGGAGUCCCUGACUUCCUCCACCAGCCCUCCACCAGCCCUGCACAUAAAUCACGACCCUGGAUAUUUUUAUACCAAUAAUUUUUAAAAUAAAUGACCCAAGCAGUGUUUCCUGGGUGAUC